UUUUUUUUCUGUUCCAGGUGG
rnacentral:piRNA from 1 species